AAGGCGGGGAAAGGAUCUGUACGGAAACAACACUGGUUUCUGAUUGGCAGGAUGUUGGUUGGGUAAAAUCUCAUCGGUUGGAUUUCCCCAUGUAUAAAACCAAGGGUCCGGAUGCAUCUUGCAAUUAAGUAAUGGCAUGUGAAGUGUGUAGAGGAAGUAAUCUGCAUGACAUUUGGGUACAAAGGUUGAAUCUUUAGUGAAAGAAGAACUGAGGGCAACGCCGCAGCGUCUUAGCAUUCCCAAAUGGACGUCCGUUUCCCGACGACAACUCCGACAGAGUCACUCCUCACCGUCGCCGGCUCAGUUUCCAAACGGCUCGGUAACUUGUCGGCUGAUUUUCUACAGUGUUGGAGGGUUAGGCAUGUGAAGCAGCAUCUAAAAGUCGGUUCCUCCCUGUUUGGAGAGAUCAAACCGAAACUAAAAAAGGAUUCGGAACCACAAAUGCAUUAAUCGUUUUGAACGAUGCGCUAGUCGGGGGCGCUGACUCGAGAUGUAAGAUGAUUUGCCAUUUUUUACUGUAUAUAUUUUUUUGUGAUGAGAUCCAGAUGUCGGUAUGAUGCUUUUGGUUUUUGUUUUUUGGGUUUCUUUGUGAUGAGGGAGAUUAUUUGUAAUUUUCAUAUGUGAUUAUUUGCUUUUAAAUAUUAAUGUUGUGUUUUUGGUUUUUGCAGUAUCUGAGUAUUUGGCCAUGGUUGCCUCUGUACAGCUCUCAACAAAAUGUGCUAGAUUUACCCUUUUAACUAAUCUUCAUAACCAUAUGUACAUGUUUUGAGUUUGAGGAAACAUACUGGGCAAAAAUUGUUGUUUUUCCUUUCUGCAUAUGGGAGAAUUACCCUUUAAUUAGUUUCAUAUCCCUAAUUUUGUUUGUUUUGAUGAAGAAACGAACUUGCUAUACCUAAUUAGUUUCAUACCUUAUUUUAUUUUUGUUUUAAUUAGUUUCACAAUUAAGUAUCGUGCGUGCAAGUUUUUUUAAUUUGAAAUUAAGAAAGCUAUGUUGCUCCCUUAGUUUGGCAAAGUUUGUGAUUAGUUUGAAUGAGAUUGAGAAUACAGAGUAAUUAAAAUGACAUCUUGUAUAUGUUAUUAAUUUGUGAACUUUUCCGCAAACAAAAUAGAUGAUGCAGGUGAGAAGAAAGAAGAAGAGGCUGUGGAUGACUCUAUGACUCAACUACAAUUUGAGACUAUGGCCAUAGUUUUCUUGACUGCCUGAUGCCAAGUAUGAUAGCUGAGUUGAACACUGAUUCCAGGCUAGAGUGACUUACCACCUGCCCGUAUCGCACAAGUCAUCCAACUCAUCCAUUGUUUAGUAAUGACUGCAUAUGAGCCUGCUGAAGCUGAGGAUUUCCUGGAGUCUUGCUUAAUUAUCUCUUUAUUAUUUUAGAUGUAUGUUGUGAAUGCUUCAGUAGUUACAUAUAAUGCAUACAUGGUAUAAGGAUUGUGAUUUAGUUGAUUGA